GCCCGAGUGGUGAAAUCGGUAGACACAAGGGAUUUAAAAUCCCUCGACGUUCGCGUCGUGCCGGUUCGAUUCCGGCCUCGGGCA
rnacentral:tRNA from 5 species